rnacentral:misc_RNA from 1 species
UGCGUGGCACAGCCACAGAUGCCGAAACCACACUCCACAGUCAUGAAAGUUAACCCACUGCAUCUGCAGACUGCACUGUGUCCGGGUAUACAUUUGACAUGUCAAGAACAGUUGGUGACAGAGUGGUCCACACAAACUCUUUUACACAAGAUGUUAAGAAAAAUUGGACAAACAAGUUGCAAAGUAUAGAAAUGGGAAAAGAUUUCCGUGUUAAUAUUGGCGAUGUUAUCCAAGACAAUGGUGGCACCAGGUGGCAGCUGCUUUCCAUCAGAGGUCAAGGCACGUGCUGUUGUUUGUAUAAGGCACAAUGUAUUGGUGAUCCAAGGAGUGUGGUGGCUGUAAAAGUCUUUAGGCCAGGAGAUAACUUUGCACUGGCAUGUGAAAAAGAAUGGGAUAUACUACAGAUUCCUACAAUGCAGCAGUGCAGACAAAGUGUGCGAGUGUUGGACCGGUUCACGUGGAACGGUCACCCGUGUCUCAUGGAGGAGCUCCUGGAUGCCAGCGUUAAGGAGACGAUGCACCAGGCGCCCGGUGGCCGGCUGCCGCUCUUCACAAUCCAGCUGUUUCUGCGCAACCUGCUAGGGGUCCUAGAGCACCUGCACAGUGCCGGCAUUGUACAUGGCGACAUCAAACCAGCCAAUCUGCUGUGGUCCCCAGAACAAGGUGCUCUCAAACUCAUCGAUUUCGGGCUUUCCUUCUUCGACCAUAGACCUGACAUGAGAUACCUGCAGAGUCCUGGCUACAGGUCACCCGAGACGACCACCUGGAACAACUCUCACGCGCAGCAGGGAGAGGCCUGCUCUGCUACCCUCUGGUCGGCAGCAGACAUAUGGUCCGUCGGGUGCAUCGCCAUGGAGAUCGUCAGUGGAGAGAAGCUGUUUUCAAGUAAACGGGGCGACGCAGAGCCAACCGUCUGCCCCAGCUGUCAGGGUUCACCCACCGCUCGUUGCCAAUACAAUCAACUAAUCGACCAGUGGUUUGAUAGAUUGGCUCCAACUGUGAUAGGUCCUGCACCAAGUUAUUAUGAUUACGUACUAUUUUCCGAGUUAAAAGAUUUUAUAUCCAGAUGUCUUGUCUGUCACUCUAGUCAGAGGGAUUCAGCUAGCCAGCUACGCCAGCAUUCUCUGCUGAACAGGCUGAUAGUGCCUUCUAUCCAUGACAUGAUGCUGCUUCCUUCGCCCAUCCUCAGGCUGGAAAAUGUUGCAGAUGAUAUAGAUCUGGAUAAUCCUGCUUAUAGAGAAGGUAUCAAGUUUAGUAUAUUGGAAAUAUGUGCUAGCUUCGGACCAGUUGUUACAUGCCUGCUGCCAACCUUGGAGCCUGUAAGGGGAAGGGUGUACGUGGAAUUCCAGAGGAGCGAAGAUUGCACGAGGGCUGUCAGAAAGCUACCAGGAAUGACAUUCAACAACAGGACACUUGUCACUGCAUAUCUGCCGUUAAGUCUAUGGGCAUGCAGGCAGUUGCUGUAAUGUAUGUACAUCAAUGGCACACCGAGAUGGGCAAAGUACUGCUGAUGACAUGAAGAUUGGAAUCACAAUAUCUAAAGUGGCAAAUGUGAGCGGCUCUACAGCUUACAAUCAUUAUGACAGGAACGUUCUUAUACCGGGACAGAUGUGAACCGAGAGCUCUUUCAACUCUCUGUUGCUAUACUCAGGUAUAUAGUGUUUUCCUUUUUUUAACCUAUCUCUGAUUAUGAAUUUCCAGCAGGUAGUGUUCGUCAUUGUUAUUGCUUUAUGCUUUCAUUGCUUGUGUUUUUAUAUCAACCAUCUAUCGGUACAGUGGCAUAGAAGGCGAAAUAUCAAUAAACGUGCUGUUUGUUUGCUGUACUACUUUAAUGUAGUGGUGUGGAUGCACAUAUCCUAGUUAUCAUUGGGUGAACAUUUUCACC